AGCAGUAUGGUCCAGUGGAUAGAACACAGACCUGGGAAUCUGAAGACCUGGGUUCUAAUCCCAGCUCUGCCA
rnacentral:tRNA from 1 species